UACGUAGGGUGCAAGCGUUGUCCGGAAUUAUUGGGCGUAAAGAGCUUGUAGGCGGUUUGGCGCGUCUGCUGUGAAAUUUCGGGGCUCAACCCCGAACUUGCAGUGGGUACGGGCAGACUAGAGUGUGGUAGGGGAGACUGGAAUUCCUGGUGUAGCGGUGAAAUGCGCAGAUAUCAGGAGGAACACCGAUGGCGAAGGCAGGUCGCUGGGCCAUAACUGACGCUGAGACGCGAAAGCGUGGGGAGCAAACAGG
rnacentral:rRNA from 1 species